rnacentral:rRNA from 1 species
ACAGCAGCCGCCGCGGUAACACGAAGGGUGCAAGCGUUAAUCGGAAUUACUGGGCGUAAAGCGUGCGUAGGCGGUGAGUUAAGUCUGCUGUGAAAUCCCCGGGCUCAACCUGGGAAUGGCAGUGGAUACUGGGUCACUAGAGUGUGGUAGAGGAUAGUGGAAUUUCCGGUGUAGCAGUGAAAUGCGUAGAGAUCGGAAGGAACAUCUGUGGCGAAGGCGACUAUCUGGGCCAACACUGACACUGAGGCACGAAAGCGUGGGGAGCAAACAGGAUUAGAUACCCCAGUAGUCCCUGUCUCUUAUAC